rnacentral:rRNA from 1 species
AUUGAACGCUGGCGGCAUGCUUUACACAUGCAAGUCGAACGGCAGCGCGGGCUUCGGCCUGGCGGCGAGUGGCGAACGGGUGAGUAAUACAUCGGAACGUGCCCAGUAGUGGGGAUAGGUCGGCCAAAGCCGGAUUAAUACCGCAUACGACCUGGGGGGGAAAGCGGGGGAUCUUCGGACCCCGCGCUAUUGGAGCGGCCGAUGGCAGAUUAGCUAGUUGGUGGGGUAAAGGCCUACCAAGGCGACGAUCUGUAGCUGGUCUGAGAGGACGACCAGCCACACUGGGACUGAGACACGGCCCAGACUCCUACGGGAGGCAGCAGUGGGGAAUUUUGGACAAUGGGCGAAAGCCUGAUCCAGCAAUGCCGCGUGUGUGAUGAAGGCCUUCGGGUUGUAAAGCACUUUUGGCGGGAACGAAAAGGACUGUGCCAAUACCACGGUUCGAUGACGGUACCCGCAGAAUAAGCACCGGCUAACUACGUG